rnacentral:lncRNA from 1 species
UGCCUACCCUACUUGCCGCACAUCUGCCAGGGUAACCACCGUUCUGACGUGCAACAGUGUGGAUUAGUUUUGCCUGUUUUUACCAUUUAAAUCUGGAGUCAUACAGUGUGCAGUUGUGUGUCUCUUUUAUGCAAUGUUUGUGAGAGUUAUCAAUAUUGCAAGUUCUUGUCGAUAUUUUCAUUGCUGUAUAGUAUUCUGUUACAUACAAUGUGACUAUAACACUGUCUAUUCAACUCCUGAUGCACAUAGGGUAGUUCCUAGAUUUUUGUUAUGUAUAAUGCUGCUAUGAAUACUACAGUAUGGAUUUUAGUCAGUGACAUUUAUUUUAAUAUGCUCUGACAAUUAUUUGACAUAGGACUUUCCGAUGGAUUCUGGUGACUAGCAGUAUCCUAAAACUUUAAGGAUGCUCUAAGACUCAUUUGGAGAACUUUGGAAAUUUUGAGUCAACAGUUUUGGGACAUCAGAAGAGAGAAGGCUUAUGUUUAUGUUGAUUGCAAAUGUUUUGGAAGUCUUUGGAGAGCUGCUGGGCAUGUAUCCUUGGAAGUAAAUCUUGCCUUUCAUCAUAAUUUGAGGACUCUCCUCCAAAGGAUAGGGAUUAGAACUAGCAUUCCACUUAAGGCAGAGUGACUCAAGUACGGUCAUGAACUCACGAACUCACCCAAGAAUAUUUAAAGUUUUGUGAUUUGAACUCAAAAUGGUCAUUGUGAUCACAGCCCGUAUAAAAAUAAUACUUAGAGAGGUUAUUGCUCUCUGGAUCUGGGAAUUGAA